rnacentral:rRNA from 1 species
AUUGAACGCUGGCGGCAGGCUUAACACAUGCAAGUCGAGCGAGCGGCGGACGGGUGAGUAAUGUCUGGGAAACUGCCUGAUGGAGGGGGAUAACUACUGGAAACGGUAGCUAAUACCGCAUAACAUCAGAUGUGCCCAGAUGGGAUGAGCUAGUAGGGGGGGUAAUGGCUCACCAAGGCGACGAUCCCUAGCUGGUCUGAGAGGAUGACCGGCCACGCUGGGACUGAGACACGGCCCAGACUCCUACGGGAGGCAGAAGUGGGGAAUAUUGCGCAAUGGGCGCAAGCCUGAUUCAGCCAUGCCGCGUGUGUGAAGAAGGCCUUCGGGUUGUAAAGCACUUUCAGCAGGGAGGCGUUACUCGCACAAGAAGCACCGGCUAACUCCGUGCCAGCAGCCGCGGUAAUAC